UACGAAGGGGGCUAGCGUUGCUCGGAAUUACUGGGCGUAAAGGGAGCGUAGGCGGAUAGUUAAGUCAGAGGUGAAAGCCCAGGGCUCAACCUUGGAAUUGCCUUUGAUACUGGCUAUCUUGAGUAUGGGAGAGGUGUGUGGAACUCCGAGUGUAGAGGUGAAAUUCGUAGAUAUUCGGAAGAACACCAGUGGCGGAAGGCGACACACUGGCCCAUUACUGACGCUGAGGCUCGAAAGCGUGGGGAGCAAACAGG
rnacentral:rRNA from 1 species